rnacentral:rRNA from 1 species
GACGAACCGUGCGAACGUUGUUCGGAUUCACUGGGCUUAAAGGGCGCGUAGGCGGACUACCAAGUCGGGGGGUGAAAUCUUUCGGCUCAACCGGAAAAUAGCCUUCGAUACUGGUAGUCUUGAGGGAGGUAGGGGCAGGUGGAACUUCUGGUGGAGCGGUGAAAUGCGUAGAUAUCAGAAGGAACGCCGGUGGCGAAAGCGACCUGCUGGAUCUCCUCUGACGCUGAGGCGCGAAAGCUAGGGGAGCAAACGGG